UACGUAGGGUGCAAGCGUUGUCCGGAAUUAUUGGGCGUAAAGAGCUCGUAGGCGGUCUGUUGCGUCGGCUGUGAAAACCCGGGGCUCAACUCCGGGCCUGCAGCCGAUACGGGCAGACUAGAGUUCGGCAGGGGAGACUGGAAUUCCUGGUGUAGCGGUGAAAUGCGCAGAUAUCAUUAGGAACUCCGGUGGCGAAGGCGGCUCGCUGGACCUCUUCUGACGCUGAGGCGCGAAAGCCAGGGGAGCAAACGGG
rnacentral:rRNA from 1 species